UGGCACAUGUGGGGCCUGGAUACAGGGGGCUUAUCUUGAGGAAGAAGAUUUAAGCUGCCAGCGCUGUAUACAGAAAUUCCUUUGAACACCAUGGGAGCCUGCAGCAGCCGAAACGAAGGAGAGUGAUAGAGUCUGAAUAUGGGACACGCAUUAAGCCAACAUGAGGUCUAUGCGAAACAAUUAAAAGAGACAUUAAAGGUGUGAGGAGUAAAGGUAAAAACCAAUGACUUGUUUAAAUUUUUUGAUUUUGUUAACGGUCUUUGCCCUU
rfam:Rattus norvegicus chromosome 1, whole genome shotgun sequence.